GAUGAACGCUGGCGGCGUGCUUAACACAUGCAAGUCGAACGAAGCACCUCUCCCGAAGAUUGACACAGCUUGCUGUAGAUUGAUUCAUUUGAGGUGACUGAGUGGCGGACGGGUGAGUAACGCGUGGGUAACCUGCCUCAUAGAGGGGGACAACAGUUGGAAACGACUGCUAAUACCGCAUAGUAAGAAGAAUUCGCAUGUUUUCUUCUUGAAAGAUUUAUCGCUAUGGGAUGGACCCGCGUCUGAUUAGCUAGUUGGUAAGGUAACGGCUUACCAAGGCGAGGAUCAGUAGCCGGCAUGAGAGAGUGAACGGCCACAUUGGGACUGAGACACGGCCCAAACUCCUACGCGAGGCAGCAGUGGGGAAUAUUGCACAAUGGGGGAAACCCUGAUGCAGCGACGCCGGGUGAGUGAAGAAGUAUGUCGGUAUGUAAAGCUCUAUCAGCAGGGAAGAUAAUGACGGUACCUGACUAAGAAGCCCCGGCUAACUACGUG
rnacentral:rRNA from 1 species